GCCCCCUUGGCGGAAUUGGUAGACGCGCCGCACUCAAAAUGCGGUUCUGCAAGGAGUUCCGGUUCGAGUCCGGAAGGGGGCACCA
rnacentral:tRNA from 1 species